GAAUACGCCUAUACUUACACCAUCAUGUCGAAAAGCACAUCCAUUUUCUGAAUGCUUACAGGAUCCAUAAAGUAAGAUAUUUCUACAUAAUGUUCGUUUAGCUUUGGAAUGGUCUAUUAAAAAUGGUGGUCAGUCAAGUUUUGCUUUGAAUUUCCAUUUACCUUUCAAAUCAGUCACUGACGGAGACCUGGAACUCUCCCUAGAACGGGAAGUUGGCUUUGGGCUUGCAGGAGAAUUCUUCCUCACACUCAUCCUGUCAAUUUCCAGGCAAUCCCAAGCUAACAGUCUGAGAUUAUAGCAAUUUAGUUACAGGUCGUGGAAUCAGUAAGUCCCGGACAAUACUAAUAAUGCAGCACAACGAAGUUUACUGUAAUACUUUGCAACGCUACAUUUUGUUUAUAUAACAAUUUCAUAGUAGUAAUAUUUAAG